rnacentral:other from 1 species
GUUCGCUGCCGCAUAGGCAGCUCAGAAU